GUCCUACUCCCUCCGUUCGGAAUUAUUUGUCAUAGAAAUGAAUGUAUCUAGAUGUAUUUUAGUUCUAGAUACAUCUAUUUCCGAGACAAAUAAUUCCGAACGGAGUAUUUU
rnacentral:pre_miRNA from 1 species